GUGGGUAUAGUUCAGUCGGUUAGAGCGCCAGAUUGUGAUUCUGGAAAUCGUGGGUUCGAGUCCCACUAUCCACCCCA
rnacentral:tRNA from 2 species